GACGAACGCUGGCGGCGUGCUUAACACAUGCAAGUCGAACGGAAAGGCCCUGCUUUUGUGGGGUGCUCGAGUGGCGAACGGGUGAGUAACACGUGAGUAACCUGCCCUUGACUUUGGGGUAACUUCAGGAAACUGGGGCUAAUACCGGAUAGGAGCUCCUGCUGCAUGGUGGGGGUUGGAAAGUUUCGGCGGUUGGGGAUGGACUCGCGGCUUAUCGGCUUGUUGGUGGGGUAGUGGCUUACCAAGGCAUUGACGGGUAGCCGGCCUGAGAGGGUGGCCGGCCACAUUGGGCCUGAGAUACGGCCCAGACUCCUACGGGAGGCAGCAGUGGGGAAUAUUGCACAAUGGGCGGAAGCCUGAUGCAGCAACGCCGCGUGCGGGAUGACGGCCUUCGGGUUGUAAACCGCUUUCGCCUGUGACGAAGCGUUAGUGACGGUAAUGAGUAAAGAAGCACCGGCUAACUACGUG
rnacentral:rRNA from 1 species